ensembl:snRNA U6 U6 spliceosomal RNA
CUGCUUCAGCAGCAUAUAGAUGAAAAUUGGAACGGUACGGAGAAGAUUCGCGUGGGCCCUGCAGGAAGAUGGCAUGCAGAUUCACGAGGUGUCCCGUGUUACA